CAGUUUCAAUUUGGUUUUAAUCAUUUUAAAGUAUAUUGAGUUCUGGAACACGUAGGACAAAUCCAAACAUUCUAUUGAUAAUUGUAAAACUAACUAUAGUUAACAUGAGUUCAGGGAAAGAUGGCAGUAGGUAUGACAGGAGAGCUAAAUGAGCGCUUCCUGUUACACCGACUAUAAUGCCGAGCAAAUGGCUUGUCUCCUCCCUGCACUGUCUUCCGUAUGACAUGCUGCUGGUAUGUCGGCCCAAUCUGUCUCCCAUAUUUAUGUGUGUGCCAGCCAGGCGAAGCAGUGACUGGGCGCCAGCCAAAAGGACUCCUCCCCUCCAUCGCACAGGGUCUCUCUCUUCCUUCUCCUCCUCUGUCUCCCUCUCCUCUCGCUCUCCAAAAUGAACCGAUGCUGUGAGAGGCAGAUAGCUCGCCUGCCGCCUCAGGGCUAAGAGCACAGAAUAGAGGGGAGACGGGAGUUCCUGUGUUCACCGCAGGAAUCAGGAUUUCAUGUGAGCCUUUAUAAAACAGAAUUGCUCAAGGACGCUGUGCUGCCGACCACCGGUUGCCAGUUGGAAGGAAACACCACCAGAGAGUGGAGCAUGUGUGUGUGUGUGUGUGUGUUUGCUAAAAUACAGAUGCUGCAGAUCAGGGACCGCUCAGUGAAAACCCUUCUGGUUCUGAUAGCAGGGUUAACAGAGGCUAAAGUACAGCCUUAACAAAAAGACUGAAAAACCCCUGAUCCAGUUAAACAAGUCAUUCCUUCCAAGUCCUUGGUUGCUUGUGAUGAGGAAGGAGCUUUAAUCUUAGAUCUUGCAAUGAAGGAAAUGGCUUUGCCUUGACCUGUCUAAGCACAAUGACAAAAAUUAAUUUAGACAGGAGGCCUAUACUAUGGCCCAUGGAUAAGAAUGAAUGGAAUUCCUCAACUACAGUAAGACUCCAUUCAUGUAAUUUGAACACCACAGGAAUGAAAAGGAAUCCCACAUGUAGCCUACCCUUUCCUUCUACAGGGGAAAUCCUGCACUGUUUCAAAAUGACUUUAUUGGUAGUGAGUGAUGCAAUACCAAUGUCUUCCAUCUGUGUGUGUGUAUAUAUAUUAGGGGAAAAUCAUGCGGUUCAGCUCAAGCUUGAAGGGGUUAAACCACAGCAGAGCGUCGGGGUAGACGGCCGUUGGCCUCAGGAGACCCCAAGGAAUAAACUGAAGUCACUGUGUGCGAGUGUGAAGUCACUGUGUGCGAGUGUGUGUCUGUUGCCUGUGAGGAAACAACUGGGAACAGUUUGCCAUUUUGAACCAUUACGAUGAUAACGGCUAUGUAUGAGAGAGGGGAUCUAGAGGGGAGUCCCUGCUAUUGGGAGAAACUGCUUAGUGUUAGGGAGACGACACUGCAUGGGGCCACAUGGGGAGAGCGGUGGUGGGGAGCCUGCUGGAAAAGCAGGGCCCAGGAAAUCCCACCACGCAGUGAAUGAACAGAGCAUUAAUCAUAGGGAGUGCAUGAAGGAACGAGGCUGGCAGAUAUACAGUCAACUGGGGAGUGAUGCCAUUGUGUUUCUCAAUGGGUAGGUCUAGGACUGGAUGUGGGAUUGCUGCAGGGGGGGGAUACAUUCAAAAACGUGAUUUUAUCAUGAAAGACAUUAGUCAUUAAAACAGAGUGUUGUGCUAGUAUUAAGCUCUGCACCUUCUUCCUACCAUACUAAAAGGGA